AAUACUGACAACAGUUUUGAUAGGAAGUUUCAGCAUGGCUAUGAUAUGGAGCAGGGAUGUGAAAACUGGCAAGAGGAUAACCAUGUCGUCACUGAUUUACACAUUGCUCUCUCUAAGAAAACCCAUCCAAAUGUAGAAGACAUAUAAGCUUUGGAGGGGGAAAAGAAAAUAUCUCAGUUCGCAGUUGCUCAGAAAAGACCUGUUAGUACUUGGCAGCUAAAUUCCCUACAGAGUCUGGGCAACAAAUGUGCCCAUCCAUGCUGUGCCCCACCCAGGAUCUGCACCAGCCCCCACUGGCAAGCAUGUGAUUCCUGACACUUCCACAAGCAUGACCAAUUCACCUGAAUUUUCCUUGCACCACUACAACUUUUCUGGGACACAAAUGCACGGGAGCCAAAUAACAACAGUCUUUUAAGGACAGUAAGGCAAAAUACAGGAACUGGGACAUUUCUAACAGGUUCUCUACCAGCUUCUGGUACCAGACCCUCAUGUGGAGUGAAGCUACAAAGCCUAUGGAAAUACAUGAGGUGAUUUUAUUCUGCUUAGAAAAAAAGGCAAAGUGAAAGGCAUCUCCUCCCUACCCAAAGGAGCAAGUCAGGGAGUGAAGCCUGUGGGUGAAGAUCAAGACUGAGGGAAAAAGGGAGGUCCCUAGAUGAAUCAUGAGAAUCCCUUUUAAAACACACUCAGCUAUGGACAAGAGAAAACUGCAGCAGCUCCAACUUCCACCCAUUGCCUCUCAAAGCCCAGUGGCACUUCCUGAGAGCUUGGGGCCUUCACUUCCGGAGAACAAACCAGAACUGUUUCCACUGUGAACUUUUCUACUUUAAGAUUAGAAUGAAAAGUAGAUAACUGCAGAGUUGCCUUUUAACAUUAUCUAUGACCAUGUGCAGUGUCAUUAGUAGCCAAGGUUGCUAAUCUUAUGCAGUAAUUCUGUGCUUCCUUUGAAGAAACAACCUAGAGCAC
ensembl:lncRNA